GCCCUUGGUGCGCCAUGGCGUGCCGCUGUCGCCACGGCCUGGGCAGAACCGCCAGGGGUACGAUGGGUCCCUUCCUCCUGUCCACGCCACAACUGAGAAAAAAAAAAUAAUUGAAAGAGGCUCUCAGUGAGCCAGCUUCUUCAAGAAGAGAUCCAGAUAAUCCUGCAGCACUCCUUCAUAGACUUAUGACCCAAGAAAAGAAACCUUUCCUUUUUCCAUGCCAGACUCCAGGCCAGCGGGUUAGGUGACUUUGGUGGAGUGCUCUUCAGCAGCACUUUGCAUCCUGUUGGCUGGCAGCUGUCCUUGGAUGCAGCACCCGGAGGAUGCUGACAGAAUCUCUCCACCUCCCUGGGAGUUCACAUGCUUGGUUUUCUUGACUAACCACCAAGAGCAACUUGUCUCCACCACCAACUUGUCUCUUCAGUCAGAUUCAAACCCCUUGAGUGUCCCACUGACUCCAGCCUGCUCAGCUGUGUUCCUAAUACCUGACAAAGGCACUUUGGCAUUGUGCUACUGAGAAUAGCAAGGAGGAACAGGAGCUCUUCCAGUGACUGCAGUGCCUCUGGGUUUGUCAUCACAAGCUGAGCUCAUAUGGAUUAGUUUGGCAGCAAAUUAAUUUCUACAACCCAUCUCAAAUGGAAGACACAGUCCUCCUUGGACACAAAACCAGCUACACAGCUUACCUUUUUUCUAGCCAUACUUUAUUGCAGGUGUAUAUAUAAUUAUUUAUGUUUUAUUUUAAACAAAAAAUCCUUUCAUGGAAAGGAGAAACUUUUACCAUUAAAAUAGAGUGAUUAUAACAUGAGUAUUUUACAAAUAUGUACAAAUAUUGGUAGCUAGUUCCUAACAUCAGCUGAUAAAUGCUUACAUGCUAAUAUCUACCAAACUAUCAAACUCAAAAAUAAGAGAUCUUCUAAAUCCAAAUAAAAAAUAAAUGUAUUACUAGCAGAAACAGGUGGAUUUUUUAAAAUACAAAUACAAAAGUUUCAUAAUAGAUAUUCACAGUGCUCGUAAGAUAUUGAUUCAUUCUCAGUCUAUACACAAAGUGUCUGGUCUCCCCCUCAUAUGCAUAUGUCAUUUACAGUACUGGAGGGAGCUGCACAGACGACAGAGAGAAGAUGGUAAGACCUGUAGAAUUUGCCUUCCCUACCAGCCAUGAAUAAAUAAAAGAACUCCUCAGGAAUGUACAAGGCAGUAGAUUAAAUGCAAGAGUCAGUUAUGCUGUUUUCAGUCAUUGGUGCAUUUUGUAACCAGCGGCAGCAGGAUUACAGCACCACCAAAUCCUUUGGAUGCCUGCUAACUGCAAAACCAGAACAGCAAACUGCCUGGUGGCAAUAAAUACUUCUGUGAUGUGGUUAGGCUGAAGCAGAUAAGGAUGUGAUUGUCUUUGAGAGAAGUGUGCACUUGGUGCACAUGCAUUUUAUGACCCAUUUCCAAACAACUAUACUCACUGAAUUUUGACCUUUUUUUCCUGUUAACAACCAUUCCCAGAACCACAAGUAACUGUGCAUCUGCAUGGGUAGGAGAGCAACAGGUUAGUGGGGGCCUCAACUCCAGAACUCCCCCCACAUUUUUUAUGGACAGGCACAGUAGAAGUAAAAACCAUCCCUCCAGCUCUGUGGUGGCUGCAAGAGCAAGGCUCCUGAAUUGCUGCAAGGCUGUUUCCUUUUGUACAGCCACUGGCCUUCCUGGAUCCUGGCCAUGUCCAUCUCCUGUGGCUUAUGGCUAAACAGAACCCAGGUAACAGGGAGUGACUGACAGGGAGGUUUGACUGGACUGUUUAAGAGCAGCCAACCAGAUCUCCUUUACCCAUUUACAUCCAUUUAGAAGAAUUUAUUUUGGAUGCAGUAAACAUACCUCAAGUACUUUGCAAAGGCAUUUUGGCUUUGUUUAGAACAACGGAAAAGAGGCUACAGUGAACACACACUUCCUAAUUGUUCAUCACAACAAGAAAGAACAGUGUGAUCAAAGAGAGAACAGUCCAUUAAGUCAUGUCUACAGUGCACGCAGUUUGGGUUUGGUCUGGAUUCAUCUCAGAGGCUGUAAAGCAGUUGGUCCCACUUCAGCAAAUGCAGAGGCACUUGCAUGGCCUGUCUCUACAUGGCAUUCACACAGAAGUAGCAAGAUGAUGGCCUUCAAGGAUUUGCUACUUUAAUGACUUAAGGGAAUGCAAUUUACCAGACAACUACUGAGCUUGCAUGCCCACCAUCAAAGCAGCAGCUCAAACCUUCCUUGCCAUAGUCUGGCUUCCUUCCUUUCCUGAAUUAGGCUGUCUUCAGCUUUUGAUGAUCAACACUGCACAACACACACUUCCCCAACCACUAUUUCUUUCCUUCUAGAGUUUGCCAGAACACACCUA